UCUUCCGUUGGUUCCCUGAGCCUCUCUCAGGCUGCAAGUGAGUCCAUUGCCUCUUGUUGUGGACACAGAAUACUACUGGUUCAAAGAAAAUGAAGAUGUUUUUCCUGAAUUUUCCCCCUGCUCGCUGAGCCUUUUACUAUUGCCCCUCAGAGCUGGUAUCGACUCAGGAACAGAAUAAACAGACUGAAACAACA